GCGGAAACCCAGCGACAGUAAGCGGGUGCUAGUACCUCCGACGAGAUGAGUGACUGCCCGGGAGGGCUGGAGGAAGCUUGUGUGAGACAGCUGGCCCGAACCAGGCCAAUCAACGUGCUGGCCCGAACCAGGCCAAUCAACGUGCUGGCCCGAGCCCGGCCCGGGCCCACAGUCAAAAGUCCGAGCCCAUCCCAGGCCUGGGCUUUCGGCUCAGCAAAGUCUGUGGAUCUGGUUAUGCUUCCUGUACGAGACAGAUCACGAAGCGGUUGCUGACUGACCAGUUGGGGCGAAAAUUUUUGUGGGAAGGACGCAAGAGAAAGUUGACAUUCAGGAACCUUCACCUUGCUGAGUGCAUCAUAAAUGCAGUGCAGAGCUGCAAUAAAUGUGAAGACUUCAAGGUAGAAACCAUGGUCACGGAUUAACUUCGCCACGCACCUGCCUGACAUCAGUCAUCUCAAAUGGAACAUUCUGCACCACAGGAGAUAGAGAUGUGAACUGCCUUA